rnacentral:rRNA from 1 species
AGAGUUUGAUCAUGGCUCAGAACGAACGCUGGCGGCAUGCUUAACACAUGCAAGUUGAACGCAGAAUAGAGCUUCGGCUCUAUUGCUGAGUAGCAAACGGGUGAGUAACGCGUGGGAAUCUACCUUUUUGUGGGGGAUAACUAAGGGAAACUUUAGCUAAUACCGCAUAAGCUCUACGGAGGAAAGGCUCUAUUAGAAUUCAGGAAUCACAAGAUAAGAAAUGGUAACACAUUUAAAGUUUAUCUCGUGGUUUCUGAAUUCUAGAGUCGCAAAAAGAGGAGCCCGCGUCAGAUUAGGUAGUUGGUGGGGUAAAAGCCUACCAAGCCAAUGAUCUGUAGCUGGUCUGAGAGGAUGAUCAGCCACACUGGGACUGAGACACGGCCCAGACUCCUACGGGAGGCAGCAGUGGGGAAUAUUGGACAAUGGGGGAAACCCUGAUCCAGCAAUGCCGCGUGAAUGAAGAAGGCCUUAGGGUUGUAAAGUUCUUUCACCUGUGAAGAUAAUGACGGUAGCAGAGAAGAG